CGGUCUCUGUCGCGUCUGUCUGCCCUCCUGCCGGUCUCUCACUGUGUCCCCAGCGCUCCUGCUCACCGCGCCUCUCUUUUUCUCUUUGGAUGGUGGUGCUGACUCUUACCCCUCUCCCCUCGGUCGUUCCCACCAUCUUCUCCCUCUCUUCCUUCUUGCUACCUCCCCUCACUCUCCACCCUUCUCUCCCUUUGCUAGGAGGACUCGCUGUCCCUCCCUCUAUCCCUUCUUGGAACGGCAGCCCGGGAAUGCAGCUUAAGUCAUUUCUCCGCUGAGACCUCGGACAAGUCACUUCCUCCCAGCUGCAGUGUCCUUAUCUCUAAAAGGCGUUAAGCGGCUCUUGGUGGUCCGCCUGCUCUCCUUCACUAAAGAAGAAAGCAAAAGAGGAGGGAAAAGGCAGAGGAAAGAGACAACCGAGAACAAAAGAAGAGCUGUGGCAAAGGAGUGAGCUCCACGAGUAAUUUUUCCGCUUAAAAACAAUUCCCAUUUCCCAGCUCUGCAGAGGCUGGUGCAGCGGAUCUGAGGCGAGGCCGGCCCUCUGACUCGCAGGAGCCUGCCGAGGGGCCCCGGCAAGCUGCUUCAAAGCCAGCCUCCUCAGCACAAGCGCUUUUCAACUUCACACGGGAAACUUUCCAGGGCUGACUUCUUGCACUUUGUUUCCAAAUCAAGAGAUGGGGAAGUCCCUCUCAGCCCAGCGGGGAGGAGAUCGCACUGAGAGACUUGCCCUGGGGUUCCCCACUCGGCACCGGGCUCCCCCACCUCCCAAGGCAACCUCCCAAGGCAGGGAGCCUCCCAAGGCAACCUCAGUGGGGCGAGGGCAAACUGCCCCCUGCCCUCAGUGGGUCCCCAGGGAGGAUUCAGGAUGUGGGCUUAACGGCAGCUUCCUCCUGGAUGGAUAAGGCCUCUCUUCCUAUGUCUUCCCAAGCCUGGUCUCUGCCAGGGUUCCCGGUGGUAUUUGCUGACCAGGUGCGACCGUCUCCCAAGGCUUAUUAUAAAAAUACACCUUGCUCUUCUCUGGGCAGCGGCUUCAAAACCAAACCACACUCACUGUCCUCUCGUGAUCACCAUCUCGAGCAGCGGCGAAGGGUUUUCCUAACCCUCGGCUCCCUCUGAUUUUUGGAAUUCAGAUUUGGAUUUUGGAUGUACAUCAAGAGGCUGGCUCCAUGCAUUUUAAUUAAGCUGUCUUUUUUCAUUUAUUACUAAUACGCUCCUCUUAACUAUGAUUUAUUUGUUAAACAAAGCACCAUAAGCCGUCACUUAUUCAUCUUAAUUUCAACAAAAUUAAAGUAGUCGCUGUUAGAUUGCACCUAAUUGCUCUUGCAAUGAAAAGAACGGAGAUGUUAAUCAAAAUAAAUUGAAGAUAAACAAUAAAAUCAUUACAUCUUUGCA